rnacentral:rRNA from 1 species
GACGAACGCUGGCGGCGUGCCUAAUACAUGCAAGUAGAACGCUGACCUCUGGUGCUUGCACUAGAGUGAUGAGUUGCGAACGGGUGAGUAACGCGUAGGUAACCUACCUCUUAGCGGGGGAUAACUAUUGGAAACGAUAGCUAAUACCGCAUAACAAUGACUGCCGCAUGGCAGUUAUUUAAAAGGCGCAAUUGCGUCACUAGGAGAUGGACCUGCGUUGUAUUAGCUAGUUGGUGGGGUAACGGCUCACCAAGGCGACGAUACAUAGCCGACCUGAGAGGGUGAUCGGCCACACUGGGACUGAGACACGGCCCAG